rnacentral:sRNA from 1 species
ACUGUAAAUCUGCCGUCACAGACUUCGAAGGUUCGAGUUGAGCGCAGCGAAACAACAAUGCGGCGCUUGCGACGCGUUGGCCCGCAGGGCGAGGAACGCAGUGACGAAUCAUCCUUCCCCCA